AAGCUGACUUAGGGCCACCGCAGAUGGU
rnacentral:sRNA from 1 species